GAUGAACGCUAGCGGCAGGCCUAACUCAUGCAAGUCGAGGGAGAAGCCCUUUCGGGGGCCGAAACCGGCGCACGGGUGCGUAACGCGUAUGCAACCUACCUUUCACAGGGGGAUAGCCCGAAGAAAUUUGGAUUAAUACCCCAUAAUAUUAUUGGAUGGCAUCAUUUGAUAAUUAAAACUGCGGUGGUGAAAGAUGGGCAUGCGUCCUAUUAGCUAGUUGGAGUGGUAACGGCACCCCAAGGCUACGAUAGGUAGGGGUCCUGAGAGGGAGAUCCCCCACACUGGUACUGAGACAGGGACCAGACUCCUACGGGAGGCAGCAGUGAGGAAUAUUGGUCAAUGGUCGGAAGACUGAACCAGCCAUGCCGCGUGCAGGAAGAAUGCCUUAUGGGUUGUAAACUGCUUUUAUAUGGGAAGAAUAAGGCGUACGUGUACGUUGAUGACGGUACCAUAUGAAUAAGCAUCGGCUAACUCCGUG
rnacentral:rRNA from 1 species